rnacentral:rRNA from 1 species
UACGUAGGUGGCAAGCGUUGUCCGGAAUUAUUGGGCGUAAAGCGCGCGCAGGCGGUCCUUUAAGUCUGAUGUGAAAGCCCACGGCUCAACCGUGGAGGGUCAUUGGAAACUGGGGGACUUGAGUACAGAAGAGGAAAGCGGAAUUCCACGUGUAGCGGUGAAAUGCGUAGAGAAUCCGGAAGAACACCGGUGGCGAAGGCGGUCUGCUGGGGUCGAACUGACGCUGAGGCGCGACAGCGUGGGGAGCAAACAGG